UACAGAGGUCCCAAGCGUUGUUCGGAUUCACUGGGCGUAAAGGGUGCGUAGGCGGUCAGAUAAGUCUGAUGUGAAAUCUUCGAGCUCAACUCGGAAACUGCAUCGGAAACUAUCUGGCUAGAGGAUUGGAGGGGAGACUGGAAUUCUUGGUGUAGCAGUGAAAUGCGUAGAUAUCGAGAGGAACACCAGUGGCGAAGGCGAGUCUCUGGACAAUUCCUGACGCUGAGGCACGAAAGCUAGGGGGAGCAAACAGG
rnacentral:rRNA from 1 species